rnacentral:rRNA from 1 species
UACAGGGGGGGCAAGCGUUGUUCGGAAUCACUGGGCUUAAAGGGCGCGUAGGCGGCAGACCAAGUCCGGGGUGAAAUCUUUCGGCUUAACCGGAAAAGGGCCUUGGAUACUGGUUUGCUCGAGGGAGGUAGGGGCAUGUGGAACUUCUGGUGGAGCGGUGAAAUGCGUUGAUAUCAGAAGGAACGCCGGUGGCGAAAGCGACGUGCUGGAUCUCUUCUGACGCUGAUGCGCGAAAGCCAGGGGAGCAAACGGG